CCUACGGGGGGCAGCAGUGAGGAAUAUUGGUCAAUGGACGAGAGCCUGAACCAGCCAAGCAGCGUGCAGGACGACUGCUCUACGGGUUGUAAACUUCUUUUAUAUGGGAAUAAAAUGUUCCACGUGUGGGAUUUUGUAUGUACCAUAUGAAUAAGGCUCGGCUAACUCCGUGCCAGCAGCCGCGGUAAUACGGAGGAUCCGAGCGUUAUCCGGAUUGAUUGGGUUUAAAGGGAGCGUAGGUGGAUGGAUAAGUCAGUGGUGAAAGUUUGCGGCUCAACCGCAAAAUUGCAGUUGAUACUGGCAGUCUAGAGUACAGUAGAGGUAGGCGGAAUGCGUGGUGUAGCGGUGAAAUGCUUAGAUAUCACGAAGAACUCCGAUUGCGAAGGCAGCUCACUGGACUGCAACUGACACUGAGGCUCGAAAGUGUGGGUAUCGAACAGGAUUAGAUACCCUUGUAGUC
rnacentral:rRNA from 1 species